rnacentral:lncRNA from 1 species
AGUCUGUAUUACCUCUGGUCAGUGUUCAUGCCAUUGAUAUUGCUAAAUAUUUUGAAUUCUAAUAGCUAUAUCAGGUUUUCUUUUGACGAACUAGGCAGAUUUUUUAAAAGUUUCAAUAAUUUCCUUCCUUGAUCUACUAUCACUAUGUAAUAUAUAACAUAUACAAACAUGAGCUUUUUAAAGAAAGCUGCAUAUUCUUUAAGAUAAAAAUAUUGACUCCUUUCGAUCAAGAUGGCUGACUAGAGAUGCCCAACACUAGCCUCCUCCACAAGGAAGAAUCAAAACAACAGAUAGAUACACACACAUUAAAUAGAGCAUCUAAGGGAGAAUAUUGGAAUUCAGCAGCAAAAUGACACUCUGAGGCAGAGAAACUUGAAAUGUCAGCCUAGAAACAGAAAUGAAACAGCCAGAGGGAUUGGCUUAGUAUCAAGUGAGAUUCUCCAUUACAGGGAAGAAGUGAGAGACCUUCAGCACUCCACAUUUCCACCCCAGGUGCCUGCAGUUCUAUCUCAGGAGAGCCCCUUAUUCCUCACAGGCCAUGCACCUUUUGUAAGGAGCUGCCUGGAGUGCAUGUGACUGCAUUAUUCCAGAAAGGAUAUUUACACUAAAUCCCUGUCAUUCCCCCAGGACUCAAACUGAUCUAACCUUAAUCCUAUUUUUUUUGUGUGUGAAAAUGCAGAAGUAUACAUAAUACCAUGUACAUCUCCAUGUGCAACAGUGAAUUUUUUUGUUGUGGUGGUCACAACCAAAAUAUAGCAUAGAACCUUUCUGAGACCAGAGCCACAAGAGUAUCGCACUCUAAGGCCCAAUAGGCCCGGCGUAUCCACAUUACUGACGCCCCACCAGCAUCCCUCCACAUCCACCCAUAGGACUAUAGCAUCACGGCAUCUGCUGGACAUAGAGGUGCAACAGUGUCCUUAGCACCCGAGCCUAUAUAGCACCCUACACCUCAGAGAAUAAGCACUUCAGUAUAUCAGGGAGGCUGCCCCCAAAACAGAGAGCUAAGGCACUCAUUCACCAAAACCUGAGAGCCACCCACCUAGAGUUUCAGCACCACCAGCAACCCCGACCCUUCAGUGAUGGGGCUCCCACACAGCCCCCAGUGGCCCAAGGAUUAGCCUGCCUGGCAUUCCCCUCCACAGUAAAGCCAUGGCAUAGCCUCCACAAACCACCACAACGUCAGUUACUAAGAAAUUUGCAGACACUGGUGAUACGGAUUAGAGCCAAAGAUAUUGUGUGGAGACUAUUAGGUCCGCUCAAAACCAAAGCCAAAUCUACCUAAUCAACACUAUAGAUAUAUCUACAGGGGAAAAAAGUAUUUCCUUAUGAAAGCUAUUCCACAAUAUUAGAAUAAGUGACUGUUACACCAGAUGUACAGAUAUGAAUGUAUGGACACAAGAAAUGGGGAAAACCUAGAAGAUGACUCCUCCAAAGGAAUACAGUAAUUUUCCAGUAGCAGACUCUAAACAGAAGAAAACCUAUGAAAUGCCUGAAAAGAAAUGCAAAAAAAAAAAAAAAAAUGCCCUAAAGGGGAGUCAGUGAGAUACAGGAGAACACAAGUAGACAAUUCAAAGAAACCAGGGAAGCAAUCUAUGAUCUGAAUAAGAAAUUCAGCAUAGAGAUAGAUAUCAUUAAAAACAAUUAGAAAUGUUGAGACUGAAGAAUUCAAUUAAUGAAAUACAAAAAUACAAUCGAGAUCUUCAAUAUACUAAAUCAAACAGAAGAAAAGAAUUUCUGAACUUUCAGACAGGUCUUUUGAAGUAACCCAGACAAAAAUAAAGAAUUAAAAAGAAUGAAGAAAGAUUGCAUAACAUAUUGGAUGCCAUUAAGUGAAAAGGUGUUCACAUUUGCGGAGUUCCAGAAGGAGAAGAGAUGGGAAUAAGGCAUAGAACACUGAUUUAGAUACAGUAAGCUCAAAGAUGCUCAAAUAGAAUCAAACCAAAGAAGUCCUUCCUGCGACAUAUCAUAGUCAAACUGUCAAAAGUCAAAGACAUAAUUCUAAUAACAGCAAGAGAAGAGCAUCACGUCACAUAUAGUGGAAUUCUCAUCAGACUAACAGAUUUCUAAGCAGUAACUUUGUAGGCCAGGAGAGAUGGAAUUAUAUAUUCAAAGUGCUGAAACAAAAAAACUUCUGCUGAGAAUACUGUACACAGCAAAGCUGUCCUUCAGAAAUUAAGGAUAAAUAAAGCCUUUCCCAGACAAACAAAAGCUGAGGGAAUCUAUCACCACUAGAUCUGCCCUACAGGAAACGCCUAAGGGAGUUUCACAUCUCAAAGCAGAAGGAUGAUACCUGCCAUCGUGAAAGCAUAUAAAAAUAUAAAAUUCACUGGUAAAGCAAAUACAUAAAUGACAAAGAGAAAGGAAUCAAAUGUUUUUACUAUAAACACUAACUACCUAACUGGAAAAAUAAGAGAAAGAAAUGAACAAAGGAUAUACAAAACCACCUAAAAAUUAUCAAGAAAAAUGACAGAAAUAAGUCCUCACCUGUCAAUAACCUUGAAUGUAAACAGUUUAAAUUCUUCAAUUAAAAGAUAUAAACUGACUAAAUAAGUAAAAACAGAAGACCCAACUACAUGCUGCCUGCAAGAAACCCACUUCAUGUAUAAAGACCCACAAAACAAAGUAAAAUGCUGGAAAAAGAUUCUACAUAGAAAAGAAAAACAUGCAGUAGAAAGAAGAAUGAUUUCAAAUAUGCAACCUAAUUAUGCACCUCUAGGAACUAGAAAAGGAAGAACAACCCAAACCCAAAUUUAGUAGAAGAAAAUAAAGAUUGGAACAAAAUUAAAAACAGAGACAAAAGAUACAAAAGAUCAACAAAGCAAAAAGUUGCUUUUUAAAAAGAUAAAAUUGACAAACCAUUACCUAGACUAAGAAAAGAGGAAAGACCCAAAUAAAAUCAAAAAUGAAAAAAGGAAACUUACAACUGAUACCAUAGAAAUAACAAAAGAUCAUUAGAGACUAUUAUGAGCAACUACAUACCAACCACUUGGAAAGCCUAGAGGAAGUGGAUAAAUUCUUAAAUAUGUAUGAACUAUAAGAAUGAACCAGGAAGAAAUAGAAAACUUUGACCAACAAUAAUUAAGGAGAUUGAACCAGUAACAAAAAUACUCUUGACAAAGCAAAGCUCAGGACUGUAUAGAUUUACUGCUAAAUUCUACCGAACUUUUAAAUAACACCAAUUAUUUUCAGACUAUUCCAAAAGAAAAGGAAUAAAUUUUCCCUAACUUAUUCUAUGAGGCCAGCAUCACCCUAAUACCAAAGCAGACGAGGUCACAACAAAAAGAGAAAACUACAAGCCUAUAUCCUUGAUGUACACAGAUGCAAAACUCCUAUACCAAAUGCUAACAAACCAAUUCCAACAGCACUUCAAAAAGAUAAUACACCAUAAUUAGGUGGGAUUCAUUCCAGGGAUGUAAGGAUGGUUUAAAAUUAAUACAUAAAUAUGAUACGUCACAUCAACAGAAUGAAGAACAAAAAUCAUAUGAUCAUCUCAACAGAUGCUGAAAAAGCGUUUGAUAUAAUUCACCUUCCCUUCAUAAGAACUCUCAACAAAUUAGGUACAGAAGAACAUGCAUUAACACAGGAGAGGUCAAAUACACAAAUCCACAACUAAAUCAUAUUGUUAACUCUUCCCUAAGAAAUGGAACAGGACAAGGAUGCCUACUUUCGCCACUGUCAUUCAACAUAGUACUGAAAGUCCUAGGCAGAGAAAUUAAGCAAGAACAGGGAAAAACGCAUUUGAAUUGAAAAGAGAGAAAAUAAUCUGUUUGCAGAUGUUAACCUAACCUAAUAUAAGGUGUUGCAUUAAAGUGAAACUUAACUGUAGUGAUUUGUAAAAAGAUAGGCAUAUUAGAAGACAGUCAUAUUGCUUUAAGUAUCUGAAAGCAAUAACCACAUUCUUACUAGCAUGUAAGAUUUUUAAGAUGAAAAUUAAUGUCAGUGGCUUUUCUAAAGCAACAAUGUAAGUGGUUACUGCUAUGAAAAGAAAAAUAUAUAAAAAUAUAUUUUUACUUGAAAGUUAGGUAAAAUUGACUUUUUGUACUCUACAUAUUAAAUUACUUUAAAUGACUUGAUAAGUCGUAACAAAAACGUAACAAACGUAUUUUUCUAAUUCAAUUGAUGGAGAAGUACUAACGUAUUACAUAUCAUACUUAUUUCUAACUUUCAGGAAGUUUUAUAUAGUACUUCUUACAUAAAUGAAUGUGUAGAAGAAAUUUAAAAACUCAGAUGUGUUGGAAAUAGCAGCAAAGAAUUUUAAAGUGUUGUUUGUCUUUUUAAAACUCAACGUAUGUUGCAAGGAUAGCAAUUAACUAACAAGCAGAAAACUUAAUUGAUUAUUUAGAGUUUGACUGCCACCUACAGGGGCUUUUUUAGUCUUUUUUUCUACUACUUCGAAAUGAUCGAUAUGACUAAAUUUUCACUAACUUGAUGAAAUUUUGGGAAGAAAAGGGACUUGUGAAUCAUUUGUUCCCAUUAAAGACUUCUUUUAAGAAAAUGUGGGCUGGACACGGUGGCUCAUGCCUGUAAUCCCCACAGUUUGGGAGGCUGAGACAGGUGGAUCACCUGAGGUCGUGAGUUCAAGACCAGCCUAGCCAACAUGGAGAAACCCCCUCUCUACCAAAAAUACAAAAAUUAGCUGGGUGUGGUGGCACAUGCCUGUAAUCCCAGCUACUUGGGAGGCUGAGGCAGGAGAAUCACGCUUGAACCUGGGAGGUGGAGGUUGCAGUGAGCUGAGAUCAUGCCAUUGUACUCUAGCCUGGACAACAAGAGCAAAACUCCAUCUUAAAAAGAAGAAAGAAAAUGUGGAUGAUCACUCUUGAAAUUCUAUGUGUGAUAGUGUGCAUUGAUUUAGUGUACUGUGAAGAUACAGACUAAUCACUCUCCUGCAUGGUAAAAUGCUUAAAAGCUCAUUUUAGGACCACAGUAUAAACCUAUAUAUAAAGCAAUCAUAAUUUAAUGAACUAAUUCCUAUAAAUGUUGAAAAUCUUAGUUUUAAUUAAAUUUCAAAAUGCUUUAACUAAGCUUAUUGCUAGGUAGUACAUGAAACAAAUAUAUGUUGUGCAAGAAAAAUAGCAGUGGUUUAAAAAAGAACAAUAAAAUUUUUCUUUGGAAAUAUAACAAUAUCACUAAGACCUGGAGCCUCAAAUUAAUUUACCAUAAAUCAAAUCAAUUAUACAUACAUUUAUCUAGGCACGGACAAUCUAAGGUCACUGUGCAAACCAUAAAAAUCUCAAACAUCCUCCUGUACUGGUUAAUGUGAGUGAUAGCUGUUUCUUUACCAUUUAUCACUGUAGUGUUUUUCUACUCUUCCCUUCUCCUGAAUAAGAUUUAUUAAGAUAUUCAGAAUAAUCCCUACUUCCUGGUAGCUCUAAUCCAAAGCAAAAUAAAGCAUAAGGUGCUUUAAUCUACAUACUAUUCAUGCCACAAAAUGACUUUUUUUCACGGCUUCAUAAGUUUGCAAAUGUUUUAAAAAACCUUUUCUUAAAAACCUAUACCCUUACAUUUUUUGAAAUAUCCCUAUCACUACUAAUAUGGCUUACAUAAUUGCUAUACAAAGGAAUAUGGUUGCAUUAUCUUCUAUGACAUUUUCAAUUAAACUCUAAGUUCGGUAUAAAAGGUUACAUUUAUUUAUAUAAUGAGGAAACGGGAAAAAUUUUUCAAAAAAUCUUCAUUAAAAGAAAUUUGACAGACUGAAGUUAUUCUCUUUUCUACAACUAAUUUUUCUCCAUUAGCUACCAUAUAGAUUUCAACUUAGUGUUCUAUAUACACUAUGACAUAAACAUCACUCAACUAGUUUAAGGGGAUAAUUUAGCUCAGAAACACGUUCUGAGCCAAAUAAAUUAUAGCUUAGCUUAAUCUGAAGUUACAAAACAAACUUGGAAGGAACUUCAUAGUUCAGCUAGACCACACAAUUUUAUGAAAAGUAAAAUGAAGCCAAUGUUAACACCAGAGAGCUAAUAUCCAGGGCAUCUGGUUCAAUAUACCAUUAUGUUCCACUAAAUACUCUGCCCUUUCCAAAAGCAAUAGGUAAGCAACAACCUAGAGAAGGGUCAAAUGGCUAUGUAGAAUGGAUACAGCUUUCCAAGUUGCUCCUCAGAACUGAGGCUCAUGAAGCCAUCUUGUAAAACAUUCCCAGCUACCGCCGUCACAAAAAAAAAAAUUAAAAAACAAAAAAUCUGUUUAUACACAAAAUCUAAACGGGCAUGUUAUCCUCCCAGUCUCAAUUUUAAUUGAGGUGCCAAGAAGACAUAAAACAGCACAUAAAAGAGAGUGUAAGAAAAUGCAAGCAUGUGCAGAUUUAUAAAGAAAAUGGUCCUGAGAACAGGUCCAUGUAUCUUAGACACCUCAGUAAGAUGAAGAAUACAAACCCCUAAUGGAGGACUCACAGAAGUUUCUGUCAGGAGAGUUUUAAAGAGAUACCCUGGGAAAAACUGGGGGCCAUGAAUAUUCCUUACACACAUAUACUCAUUUUCCAAUCUGUCUCCUUGAUCCUCUGUUAGGACAAGUGAGAAAAUGUUACCAAACUCCAAGCUUUAGGGGGUUAACUUUGAAGUUGAAAAAUGCAGUGAACUAGUGUGUUUUGAUAUCUCAGAGAGUGUUAGUCCGUUUUGCAUUGGUAUAAAGAAAUAUGUGAGGCUGGGUAAUUUCUAAAGAAAAGUGGUGUCUUUGGCUCAUGGUGCUGCAGGCUGUACGAACAUGGCACCAGCAUCUGCUCAGCUUCUGGUGAGGCCUCGGGAAGCUUUUACUCAUGAUAGAAAGCAAAGAGAGAAUACGUACGUCACAUGGACAGAGAGUAACCAAAAGAGAGGGAGAAGGUCCCAGACUCUUUGACAAGCAGACCAUGUGAUAACUCAUUAACCACAGAGAGGGCAGCAAACCAUUCAUGAGGGAUCCAUCCCUGUGACCCAAACACCUCCCACCAGGCCCCACAUCCAGCUUUGGGGAUCACAUUUCAACCUGAGAUUUAGAGGGGACACACAUCCAAACUAUGUCCAAGUGAAAAUGGAACGUUGACUGUGGACUGUCCCGACGAAGCGCUUUGGUGAUGAAGCUGGAAGUGUGGUGUUGCUUCAGCAUCAAUCCACCCUCCCAGAAGAUGCUGGUACAGGUGAUGUGUGAGGAUAUCAAGUUUUUAACAAGACAUAAGCUACACUGCAAAGGUGGGAGUCUUAACGUUAGAGGUCAUCUCGUGUCCUGAGCAAUAUAGAGCUAUCUGCAAGAGCAAGGACACUUUAAAAUAGAGUGGUUGGAUAUGCACUUCCACCUGUCCAUGGGAUGAGAAGAGUAACAAAUGUCCACCUAGAUGUAUCUGCCCAGGUUAAAGGGAACUUUAGGAUGGUGGGUCCUAGCCAGAUACACUGCCAGAUUACACCAAACUCUUUGUGAAAAUAUAUAUAUUUUCUUUGUGAUAUAUAUAUAUAUAUAUAUAUAUAUAUAUAUAUAUAUAUAUAUAUAUAUAUAUAUCAAAAGACAUCUCUGUGGGAUGUAGCCUUACAUGAUUCUUGGCAAUUAAAUGACAUUUUUUAAAGUACCUUCAUUGUCUGAGUGUGUGCAACCUUCAAACCAAUGAAUGCUGUCAAGUGAGCAGAUUUGGCCUGGAAUUAUGUUUCAAACUGCUCUUUCUGCUUAGCUCCUUCGUCUGCUCAAAAUGAAUGUCAAAAGUGGGCACCCUGGGCCUGGCAGGGGAUUGUAGAAGAGUACACAAAAAUGGCAUGCUUGUGCGAGAAAGAUUUAGCUUGAAAAAAGAGGCCAGCCUUAAAUUUUUAACUUCUAGGCCCAGGAAGCCGAAGCUAGCUUAUGAUUUCACCCCUUGACAUCAAAAAUGCAAUCCCUCUGCCUAUUGCAUGGAUUCAGUUGUGUCUUCCCAAAAUUCAGAUGUUGCAGUCCUAACUCCCAGUACUUCAGAACAUGACCUUCUUUGGAAACAGAGUUGUCGCACAUAUAAUUGGUUAAGCUAAUGUCAUCCUGGGGUAGAGAGGGCCCAGUAUCCAAUAUGACUGAUGUCCUUAUUAAAUAAUGCCAUGUGAAGAUACAAACAGAACACAAGGAAAUGUCAUGAGAAUAUAAAUGCAGAGAUCUAGGUAGUACAUCUACCAGACAAGGAAAAUCAAAGAUCGCCAGAAAAUCUCUGCAUGGGAAAAACUCUCCCUUGCAGGUCUUUGGAGGAAUUAACCCUUCCAACACUUUGAUCUUGAACUUCUAGUAUCCAGAACUGUGAGAAGGUAACUAUUUGUUUAAGCCCCUCAGUUAUGGCAAUUAGUUAUGGCAGCCGUAGCACACGAAUACACCUGUCCUCCCAAGUUACCCCUUAGACCUGGGCAGCUAGCUAGCAGGAGAGGAGGUGAGUGUGACAAAAGUAGACAGCAGAGGAUGAUGCCCCUAUCCCACUAUAGCCUUCAUCUCCAGCUGAAGGAUGACAGAAGCUUUAUAUUAAGUUUGGAGUUUGAUUGCCUCGACAUUUUAAUGACUGAAUUGAGACUACAUCUGUUUAAAGUGUCAAUAGGUCUUAAUCAAGAGUAAGCAGAAAAGCCACUGGAUCUUCCAGAGAUUUAUCAAAAAGCAAGAGGAGAUUAGUACCGCUGGAUAAAGCACAAAGAAACAGUAGGAGAAAAAAAUGAAGUCUCAGUGUGGUCAGAAUCACACACGCUAUGUCAUAUUUGGUCCACAUCCCUCAAGACAAAAUAAACACUAUGCCCUAAACUCCCCAUAAGUGACCAAGCUAACUCCGAAUCCGAGGGUGUUUUUUUCUCUACAAUAAAUUACAUUAUCUGGUAUUUGAAAAAGUGAAAUAGUCUUUUUCCUUCAGUACAUCUCCUACUAUCUUAUUUCCGUUGCCUUUUCUCUUGAUCAUUUCUAAUUAUUAUACUAUAAUUGUUCUUCUGAUUAAUAUUUCAGUGUGGUAGAUUUUUGCAACAAUAGCUAAAGUUAUUCAUCUUCCUGUAAACAAGCUCCUUUGUAAUGGGACUUUUCAGCUCUUCCCAUUCAGAGGGAGUUUUUUUUUUCUCCUUCUUACCUGUUAACUGUCAGCUGUCCUUGUGACUUGCUUUGACCAGUGGUCAUGCGCCAUUCUCUAGUGUAAGUGUUAACAGAUGUUGCACACUCCUGUCCUUUCUCUUAGAACCCUGCCAUCGUCAUGUGAUCAACCUCUGGUUUACAGGAGAAUCAAAGACCACAGGGGGCAGAGACAAACCAGCCAGGUAGCAACCAGCCAAACUAGCAGAUAACUGCAGACACGUGAAUGAGCUCAACCCAGACCACAAGAACAAAAGCAGAGGAAUUCAACCCAAAAUUCCACCCCCAAAACUUUGAGAUAAAGGGUUGGUUUUAAAAACUAAUUUUUAUGGCGUGUUACCUAACAAAGUUAAUCGAUAUACUCUGCAAAUAACCAGCCUGUAUUUUACCACAAUUAUCAUUUUAUUUUUGCCAAAUUCAUAAUUUUAUGUCUACUUAUGUGGUAGUGUAUUAUUCCUAAGUUAACACAGAAGCUAAUAAUAGUGAACAGGUUGUACAGUAUAUACUGCGUGCUCAUCAGCUGCCUUUGAAUUAAAUGAUCACUAUGAGAAGAUAAAAUGAACACACUUCCAAAGAAGAAGAAUAGCUAUCUGGAAAGUGUUUCCAUAGCACAGGAAAUAGACAAUUAGUAUACACGGCCGCUGGCAGCAAUCGACUCACUUGAUUGCUUACUAUUACCCCUGUUUCCUUUUGGUGAACUGCUGUGGUUUUCACUGUCUUAUUUUCGGCAUAGGAUUUUAACUCGUCAAUAGAAAUAAGUGGGCUGUAAAUAUUAGUAAGUAAAAUGAUACAUAAAUAACAUGGCAACACUUCUUUUAUUCUCGAAUGUCUUGGUUAACCUGGAAUUGUCAAGCUAUAUUUCAAAAAUCUUUAAACUUUUGAAACAUAAUAUUUACAUCAUGAUUAUGACAACAACUCACACAGGCUUCUACAACCCACUGUGAAACCUAGACUGUACAAAAUGUAAUGCAGCAAUAAUAAUUAUUCCUUGUUCUCUGCUGAGCAGAUGGAGAUAAUUCAGGAUGGGAAAUAUAAAACCUACAUGUUAAAGUCUAUCUGAAAUAAAUAAGAAUUCUUGAGUUAAAAGCUAGUGAUUCACUGAAAUCUGUUCUUUUAGUAUUACAUGAAUAAAAAUAAUGUAUUUAUUUUAGGAACACAAGUUUAUCUAUUUGAGAGAAUCAACCAAAUAUUCCACUCUGUUUAGGCUCUGGCUCUCUCCUCAAAUAUCCAACACCACUUCUCCUAUCGC